GGUCAGGUGGUGUAAUGGUAGCACUUUGCGCCCGAAUGCGAAGAGGAGUGGCUCGAUUCCCUUCCGGUCCA
rnacentral:tRNA from 1 species